GCGGACAGAAGGGAGCUUGCUCCCGGAUGUUAGCGGCGGACGGGUGAGUAACACGUGGGUAACCUGCCUGUAAGACUGGGAUAACUCCGGGAAACCGGAGCUAAUACCGGAUAGUUCCUUGAACCGCAUGGUUCAAGGAUGAAAGACGGUUUCGGCUGUCACUUACAGAUGGACCCGCGGCGCAUUAGCUAGUUGGUGGGGUAAUGGCUCACCAAGGCGACGAUGCGUAGCCGACCUGAGAGGGUGAUCGGCCACACUGGGACUGAGACACGGCCCAGACUCCUACGGGAGGCAGCAGUAGGGAAUCUUCCGCAAUGGACGAAAGUCUGACGGAGCAACGCCGCGUGAGUGAUGAAGGUUUUCGGAUCGUAAAGCUCUGUUGUUAGGGAAGAACAAGUGCGAGAGUAACUGCUCGCACCUUGACGGUACCUAACCAGAAAGCCACGGCUAACUACGUGCCAGCAGCCGCGGUAAUACGUAGGUGGCAAGCGUUGUCCGGAAUUAUUGGGCGUAAAGGGCUCGCAGGCGGUUUCUUAAGUCUGAUGUGAAAGCCCCCGGCUCAACCGGGGAGGGUCAUUGGAAACUGGGAAACUUGAGUGCAAAAGAGGAGAGUGGAAUUCCACGUGUAGCGGUGAAAUGCGUAGAGAUGUGGAGGAACACCAGUGGCGAAGGCGACUCUCUGGUCUGUAACUGACGCUGAGGACGAAAGCGUGGGAGCGAACAGGAUUAGAUACCCUGGUAGUCCACGCCGUAAACGAUGAGUGCUAAGUGUUAGGGGGUUUCCGCCCCUUAGUGCUGCAGCUAACGCAUUAAGCACUCCGCCUGGGGAGUACGGUCGCAAGACUGAAACUCAAAGGAAUUGACGGGGGCCCGCACAAGCGGUGGAGCAUGUGGUUUAAUUCGAAGCAACGCGAAGAACCUUACCAGGUCUUGACAUCCUCUGACAACCCUAGAGAUAGGGCUUUCCCUUCGGGGACAGAGUGACAGGUGGUGCAUGGUUGUCGUCAGCUCGUGUCGUGAGAUGUUGGGUUAAGUCCCGCAACGAGCGCAACCCUUGAUCUUAGUUGCCAGCAUUUAGUUGGGCACUCUAAGGUGACUGCCGGUGACAAACCGGAGGAAGGUGGGGAUGACGUCAAAUCAUCAUGCCCCUUAUGACCUGGGCUACACACGUGCUACAAUGGACAGAACAAAGGGCUGCAAGACCGCAAGGUUUAGCCAAUCCCAUAAAUCUGUUCUCAGUUCGGAUCGCAGUCUGCAACUCGACUGCGUGAAGCUGGAAUCGCUAGUAAUCGCGGAUCAGCAUGCCGCGGUGAAUACGUUCCGGGGCCUUGUACACACCGCCCGUCACACCACGAGAGUUUGCGGCACCCGAAGUCGGUGAGGUAACCUUU
rnacentral:rRNA from 1 species